CCUCCUGCUAGAAGACAGAAAAGAAAAGCUCAAUGUAUGUAGAAAAUAGCAGACGCUGCAUUCUGAUUAGAAUAAUGGUUUUUACAGCGGUUAAUCUGAAGUUGCAGCUUUACACACAAGCUAAAAUACGACUCUGUGCAAAGACUAGGGGACUUUAGCAAAUACAGAGAAAAAAAUCAAGUGAGCAAAACAGCGCCCCCUAGAUUCCAUAGUAUGGUAAAUGCCGCUGAGUUGGUGCGGUGAUAGGUGGUACUGCACUUUACCGUUGUAUAACGAAGGCGCAGGCGAAUUCAAUGUCGCUUGAUUAGGUGGAAACUGACUAAGCGACUUAAAGGUAGAAACAGCAUCCUGGACUAUUUUAUGAACUUUCAUAAACUUCACAAAGGCUUUCGGAGUAAACAAGUACAACUGUCUGUCUGGUUUAAAACAAACACCUGGAAAUUGGAAAACACAGGAGCAGUUCGACAGCACAAAGGAGCACAGAAACUGGACAAUGAGAAGAACAGCAAAAGACAAGAGGAACAUCAAGCUGACGGGCUCCACCUGUCCACACACACACAGUGACGGAAGAAGGUAGCGACCACCCAGAGCACGUUGACGAUGAAAUACAGAAAGACAGCCUGCAGGGAGGAGAGAGAGGUGAACGGCUGUUUGUGCGUCUGCACUGGGCUUUAGUAUCAGUAGGAAAAUGCAGAUGUGUGACCUUGUU